rnacentral:rRNA from 1 species
GACGAACGCUGGCGGCGUGCCUAACACAUGCAAGUCGAACGGGGUAGAGAGCUUCGGUUUUCUACUUAGUGGCGAACGGGUGAGUAACGCGUGAGAAACCUGCCUUUCAGUGGGGGACAACAGUUGGAAACGACUGCUAAUACCGCAUAAUGUAUUCGGGGGGCAUCCCUUGAAUACCAAAGCUUUAUGUGCUGAAAGAUGGUCUCGCGUCUGAUUAGCUAGAUGGCGGGGUAACGGCCCACCAUGGCGACGAUCAGUAGCCGGUCUGAGAGGAUGAACGGCAACAUUGGGACUGGAGUACGGCCCAGACUCCUACGGGAGGCAGCAGUGGGGAAUCUUGGGCAAUGGGGGAAACCCUGACCCAGCAACGCCGCGUGAAGGAAGAAGGCCUUCGGGUUGUAAACUUCUUUUAGCAGGGACGAAGAACGUGACGGUACCUGCAGAAAAGCAACGGCUAACUACGUGCCAGCCGCCGCCGUAACAC